ensembl:lncRNA
CGGGAGCAGCUGGAGAAGCGAGCCCAGCUCUGCCGGUCUCUGAAGGAGUGGGACCUGCGACGCAACCCCGGCGAAGUGGGCAGCAGCCUGGCGGAAGCCCGCGGUCCUCGCGCAUGGCGCCCUCCUGCUCCCGAGGCCCAGGCCCCGGCCCUGGGCCCCGCUGCCUUCCCUCUCCAGGCCCGGGGGGAGCAGGCUUCCCGCCGAGCGCAGACCUGUGGAGGUGAGGAAGUCCAGUCCCGGGAGCUGUCAUGGGGGAGCCCUGACGGGACCCCCAAGUUCCAGCGCAGCGAGGCUGCUCAGAGGGGUCAUCAUGUCUCAUCACUGGUUGUCCAAAUAGUGCAACCUGGAGAUCUAAUUAAGUGUAAAAGACAGUUCAGGACCAAAGUGAGCUCAAGUGUCCCCAGCCCCAGACUCUGCGGUGACUCUGCAGGUCUCUGCUUCCCUCUGAGUUCAGCUCAGAGCCUCAUCCGGGCUGCGGACUCCCUGCCAUCCCGCCUUGUCUCCCACCACCCUGCAAAGUGGCUCCGCAUUUCCAGUGCAGGCUCCAUUCACUCCAACCUCUGCUUUUCCUAAUCCCACCCCAGCCUCCCCUUCACCUCCCAACUCUGGGCCCCCUCUUCCUUACGCCCCAGCACUGAGUCUGGUUUUUCUGCAGCCCUGCCUGACGUCUCCAGCUGGCCGCAGCCCGUGGCCCCGUCUCUGAGGCAGCAGGGGCUAACAGCCCUGGGGCGGGUCGCUGAGGCCUGGACGCCUGCUGCUGUUUCCCAUGUUUUAGUCUUGCUCUCUUUGGAGCAUGUGGUUGAUGUUUUAAUAAAUAGCCGGUUGAAUGGUUGACCGAGGAAAAUAUAAAGACGAGGGCAUUAAGGGAAUCUCAGCCAGGCAGAGCU